rnacentral:rRNA from 1 species
UACGUAGGUGGCAAGCGUUGUCCGGAUUUACUGGGCGUAAAGGAUGCGUAGGCGGAUGUUUAAGUGAGAUGUGAAAUACCCGAGCUCAACUUGGGUGCUGCAUUUCAAACUGGAUAUCUAGAGUGCAGGAGAGGAAAGCGGAAUUCCUAGUGUAGCGGUGAAAUGCGUAGAGAUUAGGAAGAACACCAGUGGCGAAGGCGGCUUUCUGGACUGUAACUGACGCUGAGGAGCGAAAGCGUGGGGAGCGAACAGG